UGAGAACCAUGAGUGCUGGAAAUAUACAAAAUCAGUGCCUUUUUUAACUAUAUAUCUGGGGGGGCAAUUGCCCCCCCCAGGGAAAGAAUUCCCCCCCCCCCCAGUAAAGCCAUUUCUGCCCCCGAAGUGCGAAGCAGAAUAGCUCAUGAUUGCUGUCAGAAUUGCAGUUGAUUUACUUGAUAAUGAGAUUAUGCCCUUCCAUAGCCCCCUCCACAGUCAUCUUGUGUGUAAUUCAUAUUGUUCUUCACCGAGUAUUUCAUAAUAGCGAUAGAUUUCAUGCAAACAAUACGAUAAAAUGCUGGUUCCAAGAAGAAUAGAUUUAGUUUUGAUUUUUAACUGUUAAAUACAUGUAUGCAUCAUCAUAGCAUGAAUAUUUCUUCUCAGAUUUAUUCUGUAUCGUAUGAAAAAGCAACGCAAUUUUGAGAAUGCGGAAAUGGUGUCUCACAGA